ACAAUAAAAUGAACAAUAUUACUACUACUAGUAGUAGGUACUACUAAUACUACUAACAACAACAACAACAACAAUAAUAAUAAUAACUUCCUCUUCGCUUCAUUGUCAUCUGCUGCAUUGACCCACAGGAGGUGUUUGUGAUCAGUAACACCAACAUGAACAACCCAAUACCGGCACAUCCUCCAGAGUACAGCUUCACUUCUGACUCUCCAGUGAGCUGAGGACCAUAUAAAAGGAAGAGCAAUGGAAAACACAAACUAUUGUCCAAUCGCGAUCCUCUCCCCAAUUUCCUUGGAUCCAGGAAGUGGCAGUGCAGGAAGUGCCCACGCACCUCCCGCUAGAAAGUCCGUCCUUCGCUGAGGGAGCUAGCGUCCUGUGGUGGUGGGUCAUUCUGUAACGUUGUCGCAGGCCCGAGUGCCGGCGAGCGUGGAGCAGGACGCACAGACUCCCUCAAAGUGAAACAUUUAUUAACAUAAAACAUAUAGA